AACCUCCUGAACGGCGACCAGCUCAAGCUGGUGUUCAACGAAACCGGCAAGUCGACGCUGAACAUCACCGGCGUCAACUUCAACCCGGCUGGCCUUGGUCUUGGCUCGCUGAGCGUUGGCACCGACUUCGUCGACAACGCGGCGACCAACAAGGUUCUGGCUUCUCUGAACACCGCCAGCACCACGCUUCGUUCGCAGGCUUCGGCUCUGGGUUCGAACCUGUCGAUCGUGCAGACCCGUCAGGACUUCUCGAAGAGCCUGAU
rnacentral:misc_RNA from 1 species